UAUUGAUGUGGGACCGUCGAGUCCUUGAACACAUCGGAACAAUGGGUUUAAUGCCGUCUUUUGUGCGCCCUUCUUUCUUGCAUCACAAACUUGCCUUGUGUGCUUUCUUAUGUCCCAUUAAUUUAAAUUUGUGGGUAAAAACGCUCUUCGUUCCUUUGUUCCUGAAUUCCUGCAAUGUCGACUAUGUUAAGCAAACAAUCUGAUUGUGAGGCAGUUCAAGUGCUGUUAGAAACGCACACAAGUCGUCUCCAGGCUGAAGUGUUUGCCAGCUGAUACUGCACGUUCUGCCCAAUGCUUGAGCAGUACAACCUUAACAAGAGCAACUUACUUUCAUUCAUUUUUUUAAGGUGUCGCUGCUGUUCAAUCUGUAAUUGAAUGUAGAUAAGCAAUAUUUACGGGGAUUUCUGUGUUCAGAGAAAAUAAGGAUGAUUCCCUAUUUUGUGUAUAUUUUCCAAUGAUUUCCAAUGAUUUUUUCUAGACUUUUAAAAAUAAUCUUUGAAGAAAAUUUCUCAUAACAUGUAGAUUGUCUGCACCAAAAUGCAGUAUUCUAGGCUACUUCACAUAUCUUGGAUUGAUUAUCAUUUUUUUAAAUUUUUUAUUGGUUUUCUCAGAAAUGAAAUGAAUGGAAGAGACAGAAUGGGUAAGAAUGUCACACAGAUAACAAUAGAAAUGCCAAAAGCCUGCGGCGUUCCCAUGCGACUACAAUGCCCUAUAAAUCCACAGAUACACUAUGAAAUUGUCCGCGCAGUUACAUCCUUCACAAUUAUUUGUAAACCUAUCAUAAAUAUUUUGGGGUGGAUUAUUUUGUCAAGUUUAGUGGCAUGGAAUCUUUUUCUAUAAUGCUUGAUAUGGGUAGAGAACACAUUUGUUGGUAUUUGAACUAUUUUUCUAUUCAAAACUCUUAGGGCAGAACUUUUGAGAUGAAAGCUUCAUGCCACCAUUUCAAACUCGGAUUUUCAAACUCGAUUUAAGAGUUUAUCAUUGUAACAUUUAUAAUGGGAGUGCAUCAGCGCAGAUUCUUUUGUCAAAAUUACCAAAAUGUUCUCAUUAUUUUAAAGUACAGUGCUGUUGUAUGACAUUUCAUUAAUUAUUUUCUUAACGACUGCUUCAACCGGAGCCGUCUGUAUUAAACGAGUAGGAAUGCUGGCUCCCUCUUGUGGACAUAAAAACGCACCUGCAACAGCGUACCCGAAUGUCCGCACACCUGUCAUCAAUCACCAUUAAAGCACGGGAAAAACACAGCUCUCGCCUACGUUUAGGAACACAAAUUCGGUAAUUGUGGAGGAAGUUGAGCUGAGCAGACUCGGGGAGUGCUUCGGAGGCAUCGGUGCUGGGCUUCAUAUGUCCCCUGAUUCAGAAUGCUGCUCCCCGACUUGUCUUCAACCUUCCCAAGUUCUCCCAAGUCACUCCUCUGCUGAGUUCACUCCACUGGCUACCGGUCGCUGCCAGGACCAGGUUCAAAGUCCAGAUCCUCGCCUACCCUGCAGCCAACAGGACGGCCCCCGGCUACUUACAGGACAUGAUUCAAUCCUACACGCCAGCUCGACCACUCCGCUCUGUGGAAACGGGGCCACUUGCACCCCUGCCAUUCGGAUGAAUCUGGGAUAAUUUUUAUCACUUAAAUUCCCCUCUUUUAUGCUACACAUGUACCUCCUGUGCCAAUUUCAUGUUACCUGUACCGCCAUCCAGCACUUAUACUGUACUUUGUAUCAUUAUCUUGAUGUUGUAGCUUGUCAUGCCUCCUAGUUUUACUUAGCAGAGGUUAGGUCAGAGUAAUGUUUAAUGUGUGAACUGGACUUAAUGUGUUCAUGGCUAUGAAUAACUUACAAAAUGAGUAUUGUGCCUUGUUGGAUCUGUGUUUUGUAGUUGUUCCAAUGACCUUCUUUACGCACUUAUUGUACAUCACUUUGGAUAAAAACGUCUGCCGAAUAAUGCAAUGUAAUGUCAGGAGUUUGCCUCCCUCUGCUGGACAAAAAAUGGCAUUACAGCAGAGGAAAUCCGAUGAAAAAAAUGUUGCAAUGUACAAGUCGAUUUUUUGUGUGGUUAUCAAAUGUAUGUGGAUUUUAAUGCUGCACACAAGUUGCCCUCUGGGGAUAAUAAAGAUCUACUGAAACCGAAA